rnacentral:rRNA from 1 species
AUGCUUGUUUCAAAGGCUAAGCCAUGCAAAUCCAAGAGCAAAUGGUUUCAAAAGUAGGUCCGUGAACGGCUCAUUAAAUCAGCAAUCAUCUCCCCAGUUCUGGAGGGGCUAACACUCCUCCCAUACGGAUAACCUCUGUAACCCUGAGGCUAAUACGUGUACGAAAAUGGUCUCUUCGUCAAACAUUCUGUCGGGAGUGGGGGUUGGGCAACUGAUUCCCGCCCGAUGGAAUGGAAGGGGCCCGCAGUUGGCCGAUAACAAAACCAACGCCCGCGGUUGACAACUCGUGCCUCGUGUGCGAGCCGACUGCUUCAAAGGGCAGCGUUUCUCCUUCGCACUUCGCGUGCAACUAAGGUGAUACAGGCCAAUCAUGUGAAAGCGCAUCGAUCCUCGCGAUCGGCGCGGAACUGGACGAAUUUCUGCCUUAUCAGCUUUCGAUGACCGUGUAGCGAACGGCCAUGGCGAUAACGAGUCACGGGGAAUUAGGGUUCGACUCCGGAGAGGGCGCCUGAGAAACGGCGACCAGAUCUAAGGAUUGCAGCAGGCACGCAAAUUGCCCAAUAACAGCACGUUGUUGAGGCAGUGACGAGAAAUAACAACACCGGACGAAACAUAUCGGCCGGUGAUUGUAAUGAACGGUAUCCAAAGCAACCGAUGAGUACCCAUUGGAGGGCAAGUCUGGUGCCAGCAGCCGCGGUAAUUCCAGCUCCAAUAGCAUUCACUAAUGUUGUUGCGGUUAAAAAGCUCGUAGUUGGAUCCGGAGCUCGGGAUUGCAGGUUUCGGUAGGGUUCUAAGGCUUGGGCCUCGCGCUCAGGCUGGGAACACAACCGCCUGCACGAGAUCCUGGCUCUACAUACACGGGACCCGGUUCUCCUGUCUGAUCUCUCCUUCAUUGGAGGGUGAAGGCGCUUUCUGGAGCGUCCGUGGUUGUUACUGUGAACAAAACAGCAUGUCCAAAGUAAGCGCGGCACACGCCAGUCCGCUUGAAUGUUUGAGCAUGGAAUGACAAGGGAGCGACCUCGAAGUUAGGAUCUCCUUGUUUGUUGGUUUUGAAGACUUCAUUGGGAAACACAAGGCAGAUUGCGCCGUGCAGUUGGGUUCGCCCCUUCAGUGUGGCCUCUGCUUACAAACGGGAUCAAUCGGAGCAAACGGUGGGGUACGUACUGCGGCGCUAGUGGUGAAAUACUUAGAUCGCCUCAUGACGAACAUCUGCGAAAGCAUUCCUCAAGCAUGCCUUCUUCAAUCAAGAGCGAGAGUAUGGGGAUCAAAGAUGAUUAGAUACCGUUGUAGUCCAUACCGUAAACGCUGCCGGUAAGGUGUCGGAGGCUUGCUCUGGUAUCCCGACUCCUUCGGAGCCAAUCCCCAUAACGAGAAAUCCAAACCUGGGUUCCGGGGGGAGUACGCUCGCAAGAUCGAAACUUAAAGGAAUUGACGGAAUGGCACCACAAGGCGUGGAGUGUGCGGCUUAAUUUGACCCAACACGGGAAACCUUGCCAGGUCCGGACUUGCUGAGGAUUGACAGAUUGAGAGCUCUUUCUUGAUCGCAAGGGUGGUGGUGCAUGGCCGUGCUGGGUUGGUGGAGUGAUUUGUCUGCUUAAUUGCGAUAACGAACGAGAUCACAGCCUCUUACUCGGCCUUCCACUCGCAUAUCGAGUAGGGGUGCCUUGAGGUCCCGUUCCCACACAAAGAUCCGCUGUGUAUGCGAUUUCCUUCUCACACGAGGGGAAAAGCGUCGCGGCGAUCGAUGCGCGGGGGCGGGGCCUUGAGCAACAACGGCCCCGAGAGUGGAGGAGCUUCCCUUAGAGGGACUGGCAAUGCUAUUUCAAUUCCCGGAAGAAUGUGCCUUUCACAGGUCUGUGAUGCUCCGCGAUGUUCUGGACCGCACGCGCACUACAAUGGCAUGGUCAACGAGCGACAAAUCGUGCUUUAACGGUUCCUCCUUGGAAGCGAGAUCGGUAAUCUUUGCAAACCAUGUCGUGACGGGGAUAGGUGAUUGCAAUUAUUUUCCCCGAACGAGGAAUGCCCAGUAGGGACGGCUCAUCAGGCCGCCCCGACUGCGUCCCUGGCAUUUGUACACACCGCCCGUCGUUGUGCUCGAUUGGUUGUUGCAUAGAGUUCUUCCGAGGCUACGGGGUGAAGUUCGCUUCGCUCUGUCCUUCACGGGGUUGGCCAAAGUUGUGCAAUAUGCAACAGCUAGAGAGCAUAAAAGUCGUAACAAGGUUGCCGACGGG